CCCACUUUAUAGAUCACGUGCACUCUUUUGUUUUAACUACAGCUAUCUUGCUAUUGGGUUCAGUAUCUGGGAAUAAAUGGCCCACUAGUCCAUAAUCAAUCACAGUUUUCACAAAUCCAGCGACAAUAGAAAAGCAAUCAAACAAUGAUAGCAACAUUAGAGUUCAAAGUCCAAUUUCAUACAUUCUUAGAAAUCAGUAAAUACUGCUGCCUUUAAAAAAAAUGAACAUAUAACAAAGGGUUGUGGAAAGUGCAAACUCAACCACAACAAAAAUGAUAUUUGCAAAAUUAUAGACUGAUGGUAGCAAAAGACAGAAUAUCAGUUAAUACAUCUCAUUGGCUAUCCCUAUCACAUACAAACUUAAUAGUUAAAGAAAAAUAUGAAAAUGCCUCUAUUUGAUUUACAGAUUCCUCCUCAAUGCUCAUAGGAAGGCAAGAUUAUCAACUGAUGCAUUUCAAUACUGCCUGAAGCCUCUCAAUCGUCAAAUUUAGCCAACUGGUGGUCGAACUUUGAAGACUGAUGAUUUCAAAGAGCCUCAUAGAUACUUUGCAGGCCAUAAUCAAGUAAUAACUUAACAGAAACAAUACUGAGGGAAUCUUAAACUAGGUGACAACAUUUCAGUUCUGAGUUAUACUUAAAGCAGAGCCAAUUAACAGUCAAGUAAACACAGGAUCAGCAAUUUGAGUUUUCUCAAAGGAAAAGAUGAUUCCAAUCUAGAUUUUAACUUAAACACACAACUUUUCAACAAGGAUAAGUGGAUCUAAUAACUAAAACACAAUGAACACACAUGCUUAGGUAUAGCCAUGAAGUCAACAGUUCAUUCAUCAAUUCCAUAUUCAACAAGUUGUUACAGGGAAAUAGUCCUACAUACCUAGUAGAGGAACCAAUGGACUUGACAAAGCAAAAGUGAAAAUUGAAGACCCAACUAGCAAUGAACAGCAGCAGAAGACCAAAACAAAAUAGCUUCAAACUCAAAUCAAAAGUCCCAGCAGCAUGGAGUGGAACAGUAUAAAAUGGAAGGGAAAAUCAGCCUGGAAAUCUUUUUUUUUUCUUUCAAUUUCUAGCUUUGAAGGAAAACAGAAAGGCAAUCAAGAGAAUGAGUCUAUGUAUUUCUGAGGGUUUUCUUGUGUACAAUCCGUGCGAGAACGAGAGGAGGAAUCCCUUUUUUAAUAGAAUGUGAGCAUGUCCUCAUGAUAGGGAAUGAGAGAGAUUUAAAGGAAUCUGCCAGCCCUUAAAUUUUAGGGAAAAAGACAUCUUUCUAAACAAAAAAUGGACAGCUAUCCAAUUUUUGGAUAUUUCCUCUCACUCCCAUCUCUUUUCUUAAUAGAUUGGGACAGUUGUCCUUGUUUCUAGAAGCUUCUUUUAUUUCCAGAACCUUUUUAACUUUCUAUUCUUACCCCAGCCUUUAAACAUUUUCCCCAUUUUAAUGUAUUUCCAACCAAACAAAACAGAUUUCUUCGUUUUCCUAUUUCUUUUAGACACCUGAAUUUAAGUAAUUACAAACAACUAUCACAAAAACUCAGAUAAAUUAAAAAUUACAGCACAACAAGUAAUAUUCAACUUUUAACCUAUUUUACGUAAUUAACUAAUUCAACAUGUAAUUAACUGAUUAUGCACCUAAUUAAAGCAUGCGAGCAAAAAUUAGUUUGACCAGAUUUAGGUAUCGAUCCGGUCAAAACAAAAAACCAAGCGAAAAUGAUAAAAAAAAAAAGAUAUUAAUCCUAAAUCAUGCAAUUAACUAUUAAUUGAAUCAUGCACACAUAGAAUCAAAUGACAUUAAAUCCUAAUAUGCUAACAAGUAAGAAGAACAAAUUAAAACUCAUGAAGCAAUAGAAAAGAAAACGGAAAAUUACCUAAACAAAGCAAGGAAAAUUUUCUGACAAAAUGUUUGGCCAACCAUGGUGUUUGAACAUCUCCGAAAUGAUACGAAAAUUGCACUAAUCGACUGUUCUUGCCAAAAAUAAUCGAUUAGCAUAAGUUUCGAGUCAAAACGGGUCUUUGAAACUCGAAAAAUCAGAAGGGGAGGAAGCUAGGGUUUCUGGCCCUUUUAGAUCUAAAAUUCGAGGAUUUUGGGUGGUUCUUUUGAAAAGUUGAAGGUAUAUUUGGAUUGAGGAUGAACAGAGGAGUAUAGGGUGUUAAUUUGGGGAAGUUUGGGGACUGUUCGCCGUCGUGGGGAAAUUUCCGGCGGCAGAGACGACCAUGGGUGAGAGAGAUGAGAGGGAAGGGUCUGUGAAGAGUUUUGAGGGUUAGGGGAGGGUAUUCCGAAAAUUAGAAGGGAGAAGGGAAUUCAGUUCCCAGCCGUUAGAUCAUAAUUGAUCAACAGCUGGGAUCAUUUGGUAGUGAAAAUGGGGUCGGUUGGGUGUGGAGGAAC
rnacentral:lncRNA from 1 species